rnacentral:lncRNA from 1 species
AUGGAGGACUACAAGUGCCGCCAUGGCAAAACAUGAGAAGGAUGAAACUGAGUGAAGCCUGUAAAGUAAAAGUUAAGGGCAAGAGGUCUGGAAAUGGUGAACUGACUUGUCAACUUACCCCUUCAGUAGAACUUCACAAUCCCUUUUUCUCCAUAUAGAAAGAAUGAAUGAUCUGUAGCUCUCUGUCCAGAGCCAGUCCCUAAGCUGUUGGUUAUCCCGCCCAAAUGUGCCAUAACUCCACCACUUUCUCUCCUGCUGAAGAAAGCAUAACAGAAUGCAAGUUGAUUGCUAGGAAGCUUGGAGCUGCUUCUGAGGAUGUUCAGCAAGUUACAUCAGCAGAAUGCCCCUAAACCAUGACAACAUCCUUAUGUGUGGACUGGGAUGAGUUUUAUGAGUUACAACAAGCACGUAUGGAUAUAAUGAUGGUGUCUUUUAUGAUUCACCCUGACCAUUCCUUUGUGACUCCUCCCCUCAAAAACAUUCAGCGACUCAGAGUGGCAUUCCUAACAUCUUUGACACCUUGACUGGGUCAUUUAUUAUAACACCCUUUCCCCCCAGCCCUGCCAUGUGAUAAAAUUGUUUUCAUGUAAUAAAUAACAAGCAACAUAAU